rnacentral:rRNA from 1 species
GACGAACGCUGGCGGCGUGCUUAACACAUGCAAGUCGAACGGAAAGGCCCUGCUUUUGUGGGGUGCUCGAGUGGCGAACGGGUGAGUAACACGUGAGUAACCUGCCCUUGACUUUGGGAUAACUUCAGGAAACUGGGGCUAAUAUCGGAUAGGAGCUCCUGCUGCAUGGUGGGGGUUGGAAAGUUUCGGCGGUUGGGGAUGGACUCGCGGCUUAUCAGCUUGUUGGUGGGGUAGUGGCUUACCAAGGCUUUGACGGGUAGCCGGCCUGAGAGGGUGACCGGCCACAUUGGGACUGAGAUACGGCCCAGACUCCUACGGGAGGCAGCAGUGGGGAAUAUUGCACAAUGGGCGGAAGCCUUAUGCAGCAACGCCGCGUGCGGGAUGACGGCCUUCGGGUUGUAAACCGCUUUCGCCUGUGACGAAGCGUGAGUGACGGUAAUGGGUAAAGAAGCACCGGCUAACUACGUG